CCAAGCUUAGUUUAUAAUUAAAACACUAAUUUGUGAUAUUAGAAAUGAGAAAUUCCUCAGCUAGUC
rnacentral:tRNA from 1 species